UACGUAGGGUGCGAGCGUUAAUCGGAAUUACUGGGCGUAAAGUGUGCGCAGGCGGCCGCGCAAGUCGAGUGUGAAAGCCCCGGGCUUAACUUGGGAAUUGCGCUCGAAACUACGUGGCUGGAGUGUGGCAGAGGAAGGUGGAAUUCCACGUGUAGCGGUGAAAUGCGUAGAUAUUGGGAGGAACACCAGUGGCGAAGGCGGCUCACUGGACCGGAACUGACGCUGAGGCGCGAAAGCGUGGGGAGCAAACGGG
rnacentral:rRNA from 1 species